CCCCCGCAGGCAGUACUGUCUAUAGUUGAACUAUGAUUGUAUGCAAUUUUUUGGUACUGAGCGAAACGGCAUCACUGUAGAGAUUGCUUUUGCUCUUUCUCUCUAAAUUGUCAUUUAAAACGUAACAGAGAAUGACUCGAGAACUAAAUUUUUAACAAAUUCAACAACACGGAGACAAAAUACAGGCGAAUUUGUAGUGAACGCAGCUAGUCUUUGUUGAUAUAUCACGUCAAAGGAAGGAAAGCAGCAGCAACAGCAGAAAUGUAUAAAUGAAAAUGAAAGAAUAACGGUGAUCUGAAUGGAAUGAAAACGGAGUUUCCAGCUUUGAAUAAAAAAUUCUUCCAUCUCAACAGUCAUGAUUGCCCACGAAGUUAGGUGUGUCUGCUGGAGGGAACGAAAGGGACAAAAAUAAUUGAGCCGACUGCGAUUCCGAUGAAGAAAUUUGUAGCUGACGGGAGUUUACUGAUGACGGUAUAAUCGCUGCGAAUAGUAUACAUCAACAGUGCACAAUUGUAUGAAUUUAUUAUAAAUAAAUAUUUGUAAACAACGCAA